CCUACGGGGGGCAGCAGUGAGGAAUAUUGGUCAAUGGACGUAAGUCUGAACCAGCCAAGUCGCGUGAAGGAUGACUGCUCUAUGGGUUGUAAACUUCUUUUAUAAAGGAAUAAAGCGAGGCACGUGUGCCUUUUUGCAUGUACUUUAUGAAUAAGGAUCGGCUAACUCCGUGCCAGCAGCCGCGGUAAUACGGAGGAUCCGAGCGUUAUCCGGAUUUAUUGGGUUUAAAGGGAGCGUAGAUGGGUUGUUAAGUCAGUUGUGAAAGUUUGCGGCUCAACCGUAAAAUUGCAAUUGAUACUGGCAGUCUUGAGUAUAGUUGAGGUAGGCGGAAGGCGUGGUGUAGCGGUGAAAUGCUUAGAUAUCACGCAGAACCCCGAUUGCGAAGGCAGCUUACCAAACUGUGACUGACACUGAUGCUCGAAAGUGUGGGGAUCAAACAGGAUUAGAUACCCGAGUAGUC
rnacentral:rRNA from 1 species